GUUGUCGGAUUCACUUCAAUCCAUGUGUGUUGGUGUGGACUGGGGUGGAAUUUAGUUCAUGUUCCACUCCAAUCCACCUCAACACAUGUGAAUUGAUGUAAAUCCGACU
rnacentral:pre_miRNA from 1 species